rnacentral:rRNA from 1 species
UACGGAGGGGGCUAGCGUUGUUCGGAAUUACUGGGCGUAAAGCGCACGUAGGCGGCUUUGUAAGUUAGAGGUGAAAGCCCAGGGCUCAACCCUGGAAUUGCCUUUAAGACUGCAUCGCUUGAAUCAUGGAGAGGUGAGUGGAAUUCCGAGUGUAGAGGUGAAAUUCGUAGAUAUUCGCAAGAACACCAGUGGCGAAGGCGGCUCACUGGCCCGAUACUGACGCUGAGGCACGAAAGCGUGGGGAGCAAACAGG